UUUCCGUAGGUGAACCCGCGGAAGGAUCAUUCAUAAUAAGUGUUUUAUGGCACUUUUUUAAAUCCAUAUCCACCUUGUGUGCAAUGUCAGGGUUGAUUUUUCUCUCGAGAGGAUCAGCCCCAAACAUCAACUAUAUCUCAACUCUUUGUCUGAAAAAUAUUAUGAAUAAAACAAUUCAAAUACAACUUUCAACAACGGAUCUCUUGGCUCUC
rnacentral:misc_RNA from 1 species